GAUGAACGCUGGCGGCGUGCUUAACACAUGCAAGUCGAGCGAACAGACGAGGAGCUUGUGCCGUUCACGUGAGCGGCGGACGGGUGUGUAACACGUGUAUAAUCUACUUAUAAGACGGGGAUAACUUCGGGAAACCGGAGCUAAUACCAGAGAAGCUACUGAACCACGUGGUUCAAUGGUAAAAUACGGCUGUUCGGGCAGGAAUAGCGGGAUCCGCGCCGCAUUGGCUAGUUGGUAAGGUAACGGCUUACCAAGGCGACGAUGCGUAGCCGAGCUGAGUGGGUGGUCGGCCACCCUGGAGCUGAGACACGGUCCAGACUCCUACGGGAGGCAGCAGUAGGGAAUCUUCCGCAAUGGGCGGAAGCCUGACGGAGCGACGCCGCGUGAGUGAUGACGGUCUUCGGAUCGUAAAGCUCUGUUAUUAGGGAAAAACCACUUUGUACGUUGCUGUGGACGUAUUGACGGUAACUAGUCAGGAAGCCCCGGCUAACUACGUG
rnacentral:rRNA from 1 species